rnacentral:rRNA from 1 species
GACGAAGGAUGCAAGCGUUAUCCGGAUUCAUUGGGUUUAAAGGGAGCGUAGGUGGCCUUAUAAGUCAGCGGUGAAAUCUCUGGGCUUAACCCAGAAAUUGCCAUUGGUACUGUAGGGCUUGAGUACAGUUGCUGUGGGCGGAAUAUGACAUGUAGUGGUGAAAUACAUAGAGAUGUCAUAGAACACCGAUUGCGAAGGCAGCUCACAAAACUGUAACUGACACUGAGGCUCGAAAGUGCGGGGAUCAAACAGG